GCACUGCUGACGAGUCCAAAACAAGACGAGACAGCUGUCCAGUGC
rnacentral:hammerhead_ribozyme from 1 species